UACGGAGGGGGCUAGCGUUGUUCGGAAUUACUGGGCGUAAAGCGCGCGUAGGCGGACCUGCAAGUCGGGGGUGAAAGCCCGAGGCUCAACCUCGGAACUGCCUUCGAUACUGCGGGUCUCGAGUCCGGGAGAGGUGAGUGGAAUUCCUAGUGUAGAGGUGAAAUUCGUAGAUAUUAGGAAGAACACCAGUGGCGAAGGCGGCUCACUGGCUCGGUACUGACGCUGAGGCGCGAAAGCUAGGGGAGCAAACGGG
rnacentral:rRNA from 1 species